rnacentral:tRNA from 1 species
AUGUUGGUUUAAACCCCUCCUUUAUCAA